rnacentral:lncRNA from 1 species
UGGAAUCGACCUCAAUCGAGGAAAAGAAAAGAUUGUGGACUAGAUUGCAAAAUCCUUGUAUUUUGGUACCAAGGUAAGUUCAUGUGUAAAUAAUGUAGCAUAAUUGUUAUUUUUAAGUUAUUGAUAUUAAUUAUGUGUUAUGCUGAAUUUCAUUAUGAAAUGUAUGCUUUGUGGUUAAUUUCAAAUAAUAUGUAAAUUAUGUGAGCUACUUGUUAAAUAUAAUUGUUACCGAGUAUUGAUUUCGGCAUUCUACGGAAGACGGCAAGGAUAAGUGUUCGAGAAAAAUCCCGUUUGAACCAUAGGAAUAGAUUAGGAUACAAGUGACAUGUCACUAGGAUGGUUGAGCAUCCGAACUCGUUGAGUUGAGUCCGAGUUCAUUUAUGGAUGCGAAUGUCCGAACUCGUUGAGUUGAGUCCGAGUUCGUGAAAUGUAACUAGGCAUCCGAGCUCGUUGAGUUGAGUCCGAGUUCACUUAUGGAUACGAACGCCCGAGCUCGUUGAGUUGAGUCCGAGUUCACUUAUGGGCGGGUUACAUGAUUGCUUGAUUUCAUAUAUGACACUUAUGUGCAAGUUAUCCAUGUAUCCGAAUUAUAUUCCGAUGUGUUCAGCGGGUAAAGCUCUACUCAAAUGGAGGAAUAUUUGAGAUGUAAAGAGACGUAUUGGUAAGUGAUGUGAAAUGGAUAUUUUGAACAGGUAUGUAUUUAACCCUCGGGUUAAGUAUUGAUACAACCACGAUAAGGUAAUAAGAUGAUGAAAAAUGAUUAGAAAUGUGACAUGUGUUUUAGUGAUGCAUGCUAAUGUUGAUUGGUAUGACUGUUUGUUAUGUUACUUAUUAUUUGCAUAUGAACUUACUAAGCAUUUAUGCUUACUCCCUCCUUCUUACUCAUUGUAGUUUUGGCCAAGCCAGCUCAGGAGUCGGGAUAGGUCGAAGGCUCAGUCACACUAUCCGGAAGAUUUUUGGUAAAGGCUUGUAAAUUUAAGUAUGGCAUGUAUAGCAAUAUAUCUAUUUUGUGUAAAUGAUCUUAUGGUAU